UCGCUGCAAAUUGGACAGUUUACUUCAGCUGCUGGUGCUGUCCGUUUCAUUGCUGCUAAUGAAGGUUUUAAAGGACUUUAUGCUGGGUAUGGAUCUUUUUUAUUGCGGGAUUUGCCCUUUGAUGCUAUUCAGUUUUGCAUCUAUGAGCAGAUUAGGAUGGGUUAUAUGGCUGUGGCCCGAAGAAAUUUGAAUGAUCCAAAAAAUGCAAUUAUUGGUGCAUUUGCAGGUGCACUAACUGGAGCUAUAACAACUCCCCUUGAUGUCAUCAAGACAAGAUUAAUGGUUCAGAUGAUUCCAUGUUAUGUACUGUAAUCCGCAUGCAAAUCAGUAAGAAUAUCCAGUUUCAAUUAUCAAUCCAUUAAUAACAAAGUUCUCAUUUUCCUCC